rnacentral:rRNA from 1 species
GUGAGGAAUAUUGGACAAUGGGCGCAAGCCUGAUCCAGCCAUGCCGCGUGAGUGAUGAAGGCCUUAGGGUUGUAAAGCUCUUUUGUCCGGGAAGAUAAUGACUGUACCGGAAGAAUAAGCCCCGGCUAACUUCGUGCCAGCAGCCGCGGUAAUACGAAGGGGGCUAGCGUUGUUCGGAAUCACUGGGCGUAAAGCGCACGUAGGCGGACCAUUAAGUCAGGGGUGAAAGCCUGGAGCUCAACUCCAGAACUGCCUUUGAUACUGAUGGUCUCGAGUAUGGAAGAGGUUGGUGGAACUGCGAGUGUAGAGGUGAAAUUCGUGGAUAUUCGCAAGAACACCGGUGGCGAAGGCGGCCAACUGGUCCAUUACUGACGCUGAGGUGCGAAAGCGUGGGGAGCAAACAGGAUUAGAAACCCGAGUAGUCC